AGCGAACGUUAGCGGCGCGCCUAACACAUGCAAGUCGCACGAGAAAGGGGGCAACCCCCGGUACAGUGGCGCACGGGUGAGUAACACGUGGAUUACCUGCCCUGGAGUGGUGGAUAACCUGCCGAAAGGUGGGCUAAUACAGCAUGAGACCACGCGGUUUCGAUCGUGAGGUCAAAGCGGGCUUCUGUUCACAAGCUCGCGCUCUAGGAUGGGUCCGCGGCCCAUCAGCUAGUUGGUAGGGUAACGGCCUACCAAGGCAACGACGGGCAGCUGGUCUGAGAGGAUGGCCAGCCACACUGGAACUGAGACACGGUCCAGACUCCUACGGGAGGCAGCAGUGGGGAAUCUUGCGCAAUGGACGAAAGUCUGACGCAGCGACGCCGCGUGGUGACGAAGGCCUUCGGGUU
rnacentral:rRNA from 1 species